UACGGGGGGGGCAAGCGUUGUUCGGAAUUACUGGGCGUAAAGGGCUCGUAGGUGGCCAACUAAGUCGGAUGUGAAAUCCCUCGGCUUAACCGGGGAACUGCGUCCGAUACUGGUUGGCUUGAGUUUGGGAGAGGGAUGCGGAAUUCCAGGUGUAGCGGUGAAAUGCGUAGAUAUCUGGAGGAACACCGGUGGCGAAGGCGGCAUCCUGGACCAAGACUGACGCUGAGGAGCGAAAGCCAGGGGAGCAAACGGG
rnacentral:rRNA from 1 species